rnacentral:rRNA from 1 species
UGGGGAAUAUUGCGCAAUGGGCGAAAGCCUGACGCAGCGACGCCGCGUGAGGGAUGAAGGUCUUCGGAUCGUAAACCUCUGUCAGCAGGGAAGAAAGUUAUAUGUGCUAAUCAGCGUGUAAUUGACGGUACCUGCAAAGGAAGCACCGGCUAACUCCGUGCCAGCAGCCGCGGUAAUACGGAGGGUGCGAGCGUUAAUCGGAAUUACUGGGCGUAAAGCGCUCGUAGGUAGUGUGACAAGUCAAGGGUGAAAUCCCCGUGCUCAACAUGGGAACUGCCUUUGAAACUGUUAUACUUGAGUGUGUGAGAGGAUAGUGGAAUUCCAGGUGUAGGAGUGAAAUCCGUAGAUAUCUGGAGGAACAUCAGUGGCGAAGGCGACUAUCUGGCACAUAACUGACACUGAGGGAGCGAAGCGUGGGGUAGCAAACAGGAUUAGAUACC